GACGAACGCUGGCGGCGUGCUUAACACAUGCAAGUCGAACGGAAAGGCCCUGCUUUUGUGGGGCGCUCGAGUGGCGAACGGGUGAGUAACACGUGAGUAACCUGCCCUUGACUUUGGGAUAACUUCAGGAAACUGGGGCUAAUACCGGAUAGGAGCUCCUGCUGCAUGGUGGGGGUUGGAAAGUUUCGGCGGUUGGGGAUGGACUCGCGGCUUAUCAGCUUGUUGGUGGGGUAGUGGCUUACCAAGGCUUUGACGGGUAGCCGGCCUGAGAGGGUGACCGGCCACAUUGGGACUGAGAUACGGCCCAGACUCCUACGGGAGGCAGCAGUGGGGAAUAUUGCACAAUGGGCGGAAGCCUGAUGCAGCAACGCCGCGUGCGGGACGACGGCCUUCGGGUUGUAAACCGCUUUCGCCUGUGACGAAGCGUGAGUGACGGUAAUGGGUAAAGAAGCACCGGCUAACUACGUG
rnacentral:rRNA from 1 species